rnacentral:lncRNA from 1 species
UUAAAAUAUCGAUACGAAUAAAAUAUCAAAAAUUCAUAUUUUUCGUCACUUCCGAAAAAUAUCAACAUUUUUAAUUCGAAAACGUUCAAAAAAAUAUAAUAAUCAAGAAAAAGAAAUAAAAAUACCUCAAAAAAAUCCUGAAUCGCAUUAGUCACCUUAUAAUAUCGUUACGAAGAAAUAUCAAAUUUUCUGAUUUUCUUGUAACUUCCGAAAAACAUUAAAUUUUCUAAUUUGAAAACAUUUGAAAAUAUAAAAAUCAAGAAAAAAUACAUAAAACCACCUCAAAAAAUCCCGAAUCGCACAUGUUAUGUCACCUUAAAAUAUCGAUACGAAUAAAAUAUCAAAAAUUCAUAUUUUCUCGUCACUUCCGAAAAAUAUCAACAUUUUUAAUUCGAAAACGUUUAAAAAAAUAUAAUAAUCAAGAAAAAGAAAUAAAAAUACCUCAAAAAAAUCCUGAAUCGCAUUAGUCACCUAAUAAUAUCGUUACGAAGAAAUAUCAAAUUUUCUAAUUUGUUUGUAACUUCCGAAAAACAUUAAAUUUUCUAAUUUGAAAACAUUUGAAAAUAUAAAAAUCAAGAAAAAAUACAUAAAACCACCUCAAAAAAUCCCGAAUAGCACUUGUCACCUUAGAAUAUCGAUACGAAUAAAAUAUCAAAAAUUCAAAUUUUCUCGUUAUUGCUAAAAAAUAUCAAAAAUUUUAAUUCGUAAACGUCCGAAAAAUAUAAAAAUCAAGCAAAAGACAUACAAACACCUCAAAAAAUCCUGUAUCGCACAUGUCACUUUAGAAUAUCGAUACGAAUAUAAUAUCAAGCACCAGUCACCUUAGAAUAUCGAUACGCAUAAAAUAUUAAAACUUUACACUUUUUCGUAAAUCGACCGAAAAAUAUGAAAAUAUUUAAUUCGUAAACGUCCGAACAAUAUAAAAAUCAAGUAAAAAACAUAAAGACACCUCGAAAAAUUCCUGAAUCACACCUGUUACUUUAGAUUAUCAAUAGAAAUAGAAUAUCAAAAUUUCAACUAUUUUCGAGACUUCCCAAAAAAUAUCAAAAAUUAUAAUACGUAAAAAUCCGAAAAAUAUAUAUAAAAAAAAAAGAAAUAAAAAAAAACACCUCAAAAAAACAAUGAAUCACACAUGUCACCUUAGAAUAUCGAUACAAAUAAAAUAUCAAAAAUUCACAUUUUCUAGGGACUGCCGAAAAAUAUAAAAUAUUUUAAUUCGUAAACGUUAGAAAAAUAUAAAAAACAAGAAAAAGACAUAAAAACACCUAAAAAAUUCUUGAAUCGCACCAGUCAACUUAGUAUAUCGAUACGAAUAGAAUAUAAAAGUCUAUAUUUUUCUGACUGCCGAAAAAAUAUCAAUAAUUUUAAUUCGUAUAUGUCCGAAAAGUAUUAAAACAAAGAAUAAGACAUAAAAACACCUCAAAAAAUUCCUGAAUGCACCUGUCACCUUAGAAUAUUGAUAUGAAUAUAUCGAUACCAAUAAAAUAUCAAAAUUUCACAUUUUUUCAUGACUGCCCGUAAAAUAUAAAAAAAAAAUUUCUUAAACUUCUGAAAAAUAUAAAAAACAAUAAAAAGAUAUAAAGACAGCUCAAAAAAAUUCUGAAUUGCACCUGUCACCUUAGAAUAUCAAUACAAAUAAAAUAUCAAAAAUUAACAUUUUCUCGGGACUGCCUAAAAAUAUAAAAAAAAUUAAUUCUUAAACGUCCAAAAAUAUUAUAUUCAAGAAAAAGACAUAUAAACACCUCAAAAAAUUCCUGAAUCACACCAGUCACCUUAGAAUAUCGAUACGAAUAAAAUCACAAUUUUUCAUGAUUGCCCAAAAUAUAUCAAUAUUUUUAAUUUGUAAAUGUCCGAAUAAUAUAGAAAUCAAGAGAAGAGAUAAAACACAUCUAAAAAUUCUCGAAUCGCACCUGUCACAUUAUAAUAUCGAUACAAAUAAAAUAUAAAAAAUUCAAUUUUUUUAGUUGACUUCCGAAAAAUAUCUAAAAAUUUAGUUCGUAAACGUCCGAAAAAUAUAAGAAUCAAGAAAAAGAGAUAAAAACACCUCAAAAAAUUCACGAAUCGCACUAGUUACCUUAGAAUAUCGAUAAGAAUAAAAUCACAUUUUUCGUGACAGCCUGACAAAUAUAAAAACAUUUAAUUCGUAAACGUCCGAAAAAUAUAAAAAUCAAGCAAAAGACAUACAAACACCUCAAAAAAUCCUGUAUCGCACAUGUCACCUUAGAAUAUCGAUACAAAUAUAAUAUCAAAAAAAUUCACAACUUCUAGUCACUAUCGAAAAAUAUCAAAAUUUUUAAUUCUAUGGAUCCGAAAAAUAUUCCCAAAUCGCACCAUUCACCUUAGAAUAUCGAUACGAGUGAAAUAUAAAAACCAAGUAAAAUACAUAAAAACAUCUCAAAAAUAUCCUGAAUCGCACCUGUCACCUUAGAAUAUCGAAACUAAUUUAAUAUCAAAUUUUUUUACUUUUUUUCCUAAAUAUUCGAAAAAUAUAAAAAAAAUUAAUUCGUAACAGUCCGAAAAAUAUAAAAAUCAAGCAAAAUAUAAAUAAACACCUAAAAAUUUGUACGAAUCGCAGUAAUCACCUUAGUAUAUCGAUAUGAAUAAAAUAUCAAAACUCCCCAUUUUUUCGUGAAUGCACGUAAAAUAUCAAAUAAUUAAAUUCGUAAAUGUCUGAAAAAUAUUAGAAUAAAAAAAAAAUACUUAAAUCACCUCAAAAAAUUCACGAAUCGCACUAGUCACAUUAUAAUAUCGAUACGAAUAAAAUAUCAAAAAUUCAAAUUUUCUCGUUAUUGCUGAAAAAUAUCAAAAAUUUUUAAUUCGUAAAACGUCCAAAACAAUAUAAAAAAUCAAGAAAAAGACAUAAAAACAACCACAAAAAAUACCCGAAUCGCACAUGUCACCUUAAAAUAUCGAUACGAAUAAAAUAUCAAAAAUUCAUAUUUUCUCGUCACUUCCGAAAAAUAUCAACAUUUUUAAUUCGAAAACGUUUUAAAAAAAUAUAAUAAUCAAGUAAGAGAAAUAAAAAUACCUCAAAAAAAUCCUGAAUCGCAUUGGUCACCUUAUAAUAUCGAUACGACGAAAUACCAAAUUUUUUGAUUUUCUUGUAACUUCCGAAAAACAUUAAAUUUUCUAAUUUGUAAACAUAUGAAAAUAUAAAAAUCAAGAAAAAAUACAUAAAACCACCUCAAAAAAUCCCGAAUCGCACUUGUCACCUUAGAAUAUCGAUACGAAUAAAAUAUCAAAAAUUUUUAAUUCGUAAAAAUCCGAAAAAAUAUAAUAUAAAAAAAAAAAAGAAUAAAAAAAAACACCUGAAAAAAACCACGAAAUCACACCAUGUCACCUUAGAAUAUCGAUACGAAUAAAAUAUCAAAAAUUUUAAUUCGUAAACGUCCAAACAAUAUAAAAAUCAAGAAAAAGACAUUAAAACACCUAAAAAAUUCUCAACUCGCACC